UACGUAGGGUGCGAGCGUUGUCCGGAAUUAUUGGGCGUAAAGAGCUCGUAGGCGGUUUGUCACGUCUGCUGUGAAAACUGGAGGCUCAACCUCCAGCCUGCAGUGGGUACGGGCAGACUAGAGUGUGGUAGGGGGAGACUGGAAUUCCUGGUGUAGCGGUGAAAUGCGCAGAUAUCAGGAGGAACACCGAUGGCGAAGGCAGGUCUCUGGGCCACUACUGACGCUGAGAAGCGAAAGCAUGGGGGAGCGAACAGG
rnacentral:rRNA from 1 species